UUUGGGAUGAUUUAACAGAUAAAAAUGAAAUCGCUAUUAUAGAAAAACAUGGGAAGCACGCAAAACGUUUCACAAUUAUAAUUAUAAUAUUUGGCAUCAGUGCUGUGUUUAUUAUUGUGAUCAUUCAAAUAUGGCCGGAUAUUCUUCAUAUUAUUUUCUCAGUAAACAACUCUCAACCACGACGCUUACCAUUUAUGACUGAAUACUUUGUUGACCAAGAAAAAUAUUUCCACUUAUUUUUACUGCAUCAAAAUGUAACUAUCGGUAUAGGGUUAAUCGGUGCAGUAGCAACAGGAACAAUGCUUAUGGCAUACCUGCAAUAUGCUUGCGGAAUGUUUCAAAUUGCUAGUUAUCGUAUUAAAUACGCAAUGAAAUUUCAUAUGUUACAAGAUAUUAAUUUGCCGCACAAGAAUUUGGUUUAUAAAGGAAUAAUUCGUG